rnacentral:rRNA from 1 species
UACGUAGGUCCCGAGCGUUGUCCGGAUUUAUUGGGCGUAAAGCGAGCGCAGGUGGUUUAUUAAGUCUGGUGUAAAAGGCAGUGGCUCAACCAUUGUAUGCAUUGGAAACUGGUAGACUUGAGUGCAGGAGAGGAGAGUGGAAUUCCAUGUGUAGCGGUGAAAUGCUUAGAUAUCACGAAGAACUCCGAUUGCGAAGGCAGCUCACUAGACUGCAACUGACACUGAUGCUCGAAAGUGUGGGUAUCAAACAGG